AGUACAUUGACCAGGACUCCAAGAUGGCGUCAGUCGGUGAGUGUCAGGUCCCAGUACCAGUGAAGGACAAGAAACUUCUAGAGGUCAAACUGGGGGAGCUGCCAAGCUGGAUCUUGAUGCGGGACUUCAGCCCUAGUGGCAUUCUCGGAGCAUUUCGAAGAGAGCACGAGUGGCUCCGCAAAUACCAUUGAAGAGGACACGCUCUGCACCACCCCCCGACCCCAUGACCUUGGCCUGAGCCCCUCCGUGAGGAACACAAUCUCGAUCGUUGCUGAAUCCUUUCAUGUCCUAAUGGGAAUUAACCUCCAAAUAAAAGAUGACUGGUACGUG